UUAACGUGGCGGUCGGCGCUGGGUGUGUCACUUACCAAAGUUCCCUUUAGCGUCAUUACUAGGUCUGUGAGACGAGUGUAACUUUGAAUCAUCAGAACCGCUGAUUUCUCCCUGUGUCAGUAUACUUAAAAUGCCGCACUUAAAAGGAUGCUUGUUUUGAUCCUCUGCUCAUUGUUUUCCUCAUGAAGUAUCACUGAUUCAUCCUAGAGAUGGUGUUCUUUUUAAGAAUUUGAGAAGGAAAACGUAGUUUCCAGCUACUUUUGUAUAAUGUGAGCAAACAAAAUAUUUGUUACAACACUUUAUUCAAAUUUAUUUAAUAUCAAGAUUGUACUCAGUUUAAUUCAUAUUUCCAUUGUGUGAUUAUAAUAAUACCUUUUUUAUGUUGCAAAUACUGUAUAAAGAAAUAAUGCAGGUUAUUCUGUGGCAUAUUUUUAUAAUUUAGAAGUAAAGUAGCCUGAGUAUAGGGUUUUUUUAUUUCUGUUUUUGUCAUAACUCCUUUCACUGUAAUAACUAAGAUAUGCUAGUUGCAACUUUGAAGAAAUAGAAUAAACUAAAUUCAAUUGCA